UUUUCUUUUUUUGAAAACUUUGCUUUGGUAGGCCUUCUAUAUGGGGCCUGCCAGAGAUUAAACUCAACCAAAUUUUAUUUAAUGUCAACCGAUUAUUUAAUAGUCAAAACUUUCAACAACGGAUCUCUUGGUUCUCGCAUCGAUGAAGAACGCAGCGAAAUGCGAUAAGUAAUAUGAAUUGCAGAUAUUCGUGAAUCAUCGAAUCUUUGAACGCACAUUGCGCCCUUUGGUAUUCCAAAGGGCAUGCCUGUUUGAGCGUCAUUUCUCCCUCAAACCCUCGGGUUUGGUGUUGAGCGAUACGCUGGGUUUGCUUGAAAGAAAGGCGGAGUAUAAACUAAUGGAUAGGUUUUUUCCACUCAUUGGUACAAACUCCAAAACUUCUUCCAAAUUCGACCUCAAAUCAGGUAGGACUACCCGCUGAACUUAAGCAU
rnacentral:rRNA from 1 species